AUUGAACGCUGGCGGCAGGCCUAACACAUGCAAGUCGAACGAGUGGCGGACGGGUGAGUAAUGUCUGGGAAACUGCCUGAUGGAGGGGGAUAACUACUGGAAACGGUAGCUAAUACCGCAUACCAUCGGAUGUGCCCAGAUGGGAUUAGCUAGUAGGUGGGGUAAAGGCGCACCUAGGCGACGAUCCCUAGCUGGUCUGAGAGGAUGACCAGCCGCACUGGAACGUGGACACGGGCCAGCCUCCGACGGGAGGCAGGAUUGGGGAAUAUUGCACAAUGGGCGCAAGCCGGAGACAGCCAUGCCCCGGGUAUGAAGAAGGCCUUCGGGUUGUAAAGUACUGUCAGCGGGGAGGCGUUACCCGCAGAAGAAGCACCGGCUAACUCCGUGCCAGCAGCCGCGGUAAUUC
rnacentral:rRNA from 1 species